GAUGAACGCUGGCGGCGUGCCUAAUACAUGCAAGUCGAGCGAACAGAUAAGGAGCUUGCUCCUUUGACGUUAGCGGCGGACGGGUGAGUAACACGUGGGUAACCUACCUAUAAGACUGGGAUAACUUCGGGAAACCGGAGCUAAUACCGGAUAAUAUUUCGAACCGCAUGGUUCGAUAGUGGAAGAUGGUUUUGCUAUCACUUAUAGAUGGUCCCGCGCCGUAUUAGCUAGUUGGUAAGGUAACGGCUUACCAAGGCGACGAUACGUAGCCGACCUGAGAGGGGGGUCGGCCACAUUGGAACUGGGACACGGUCCAGACUCCUCCGGGAGGCAGCAGUAGGGAAUCUUCCGCAAUGGGCGAAAGCCUGACGGAGCAACGCCGCGUGAGUGAUGAAGGUCUUCGGAUCGUAAAACUCUGUUAUUGGGGAAGAACAUACGUGGAAGUAACUGUGCACGUCUUGACGGUACCUAAUCAGAAAGCCACGGCUAACUACGUG
rnacentral:rRNA from 1 species